rnacentral:rRNA from 1 species
UCNNGCCAUGCCGCGUGUAGGAAGACUGCCCUAUGGGUUGUAAACUACUUUUAUAUGGGAAGAAUAAGGUCUACGUGUAGACUGAUGACGGUACCAUAAGAAUAAGCACCGGCUAACUCCGUGCCAGCAGCCGCGGUAAUACGGAGGGUGCAAGCGUUAUCCGGAAUCAUUGGGUUUAAAGGGUCCGUAGGCGGGCAUAUAAGUCAGUGGUGAAAGUCUGUGGCUCAACCAUAGAAUUGCCAUUGAUACUGUAUGUCUUGAAUUAUUGUGAAGUGGUUAGAAUAUGUAGUGUAGCGGUGAAAUGCUUAGAGAUUACAUAGAAUACCGAUUGCGAAGGCAGAUCACUAACAAUAUAUUGACGCUGAUGGACGAAAGCGUAGGUAGCGAACAGGAUUAGAUACCCNGGUAG